UAAUAAAAAUCGGUAUGUUGCUUUUUUUGUGACGUUCCGGAAUUUGAGUUAUCUUAAUUUUUUAGUUUAAGAGGCUUAAAAUUGACCUUUUUUGCGCAUUUUUAGACGUACAUAAAUUUUUUUUUAUUCGUUUAUUCUAAUGCCAAAAUCUAUUAGAUGCGACCAUAUCAUGUGGUUCCGCGUCUAUAAAUUUUUCAUG
rnacentral:misc_RNA from 1 species